AGGAGACCGCCUGGGGAGUACGGCCGCAAGGUUAAAACUCAAAUGAAUUGACGGGGGCCCGCACAAGCGGUGGAGCAUGUGGUUUAAUUCGAUGCAACGCGAAGAACCUUACCUGGUCUUGACAUCCACAGAACUUUCCAGAGAUGGAUUGGUGCCUUCGGGAACUGUGAGACAGGUGCUGCAUGGCUGUCGUCAGCUCGUGUUGUGAAAUGUUGGGUUAAGUCCCGCAACGAGCGCAACCCUUAUCCUUUGUUGCCAGCGGUCCGGCCGGGAACUCAAAGGAGACUGCCAGUGAUAAACUGGAGGAAGGUGGGGAUGACGUCAAGUCAUCAUGGCCCUUACGACCAGGGCUACACACGUGCUACAAUGGCGCAUACAAAGAGAAGCGACCUCGCGAGAGCAAGCGGACCUCAUAAAGUGCGUCGUAGUCCGGAUUGGAGUCUGCAACUCGACUCCAUGAAGUCGGAAUCGCUAGUAAUCGUGGAUCAGAAUGCCACGGUGAAUACGUUCCCGGGCCUUGUACACACCGCCCGUCACACCAUGGGAGUGGGUUGCAAAAGAAGUAGGUAGCUUAACCUUCGGGAGGGCGCUUACCACUUUGUGAUUCAUGACUGGGGUGAAGUCGUAACAAGGUAACCGUAGGGGAACCUGCGGUUG
rnacentral:rRNA from 1 species